rnacentral:rRNA from 1 species
GACGAACGCUGGCGGCGUGCUUAACACAUGCAAGUCGAACGGAAAGGCCCUGCUUUUGUGGGGUGCUCGAGUGGCGAACGGGUGAGUAACACGUGAGUAACCUGCCCUUGACUUUGGGAUAACUUCAGGAAACUGGGGCUAAUACCGGAUAGGAGCUCCUGCUUCAUGGUGUGGGUUGGAAAGUUUCGGCGGUUGGGGAUGGACUCGCGGCUUAUCAGCUUGUUGGUGGGGUAGUGGCUUACCAAGGCUUUGACGGGUAGCCGGCCUGAGAGGGUGACCGGCCACAGUGGGACUGAGAUACGGCCCAGACUCCUACGGGAGGCAGCAGUGGGGAAUAUUGCACAAUGGGCGGAAGCCUGAUGCAGCAACGCCGCGUGCGGGAUGACGGCCUUCGGGUUGUAAACCGCUUUCGCCUGUGACGAAGAGUGAGUGACGGUAAUGGGUAAAGAAGCACCGGCUAACUACGUG